CGUAGGUGGCAAGCGUUGUCCGGAUUUAUUGGGUUUAAAGGGUGCGUAGGCGGCUUUAUAAGUCAGUGCUGAAAUAUCCCGGCUUAACCGGGAGGGUGGCAUUGAUACUGCAGAGCUUGAGUGAAGUCGAGGUAGGCGGAAUUGACGGUGUAGCGGUGAAAUGCUUAGAUAUCGUCAAGAACACCGAUAGUGAAGACAGCUUACUAGACUUCAACUGACGCUGAGGCACGAAAGUGUGGGGAUCAAACAGGAUUAGAUACCCUGGUAGUCCACACUGUAAACGUUGAUUACUCGAUGUGUGCGAUAUACAGUACGCGUCUUAGCGCAAGCGAUAAGUAAUCCACCUGGGGAGUACGCCGGCAACGGUG
rnacentral:rRNA from 1 species